CUGCCCAUCGCUAUUGUCACUGACAAUGGGAACUGCCCGGCCCUGCUCACCGACAGCACCAUUAGCCCAAAUAUUUGCUUCCCGUCUCCAGGGUGACGGGGUUGCCAGCGCUCACCCACAUGCCUCCUUUGAUCAUUUUCCUCUUGAUCUUCUGCACACCAGUUCCCUGCGCUCCUCUCCGUCUCUCGCUCCUCGUGGGGAGGCGGGGAGCUGGUGCAGCAUCUUCCAGCAAGGGACUGCAGGCAGGCAGCUUCCCUUUGCUGUGCAUCCGUUUUUUUCCUCCCUUUUUGGUUCCUUUUUACCCUAUCUCACCUAUGGAGAUGGUAAAACAGGAGGUGAGGGCUGCUGUGUCCCCAAGGAGCUCAAGAGUCCAAAGCAAACCCCAUGGCUACCACCAUCAUCUCUCCAUGGCCACAGCCAUCGUCUCAUCACCACCACCAUCAUCUCCCCAUGGCCUCAACCACGGCAUCCCCAUGGCUACCAGCAUCUUCCCACAGUCACCACCAUCAUCUCCUCAUCACCGCCACCACCAUUUCCCCAUCAUCACAACCAUGGCAUCUCCCCGUGGCCACCAUCAUUUUCCCGUGGCAACCAUCAUCUCCCACUGGCCACAACCACAGCAUCUCCCUAUGGCCACCAUCAUUUCCCUGUGGCCACCAUCAUUUCCCCAUGGCCACCAUCAUCUCCCACUGGCCACAACCACAGCAUCUCCCUAUGGCCACCAUCAUUUCCCCAUGGCCACCAUCAUCUCCCACUGGCCACAACCACAGUAUCUCCCACUGGCCACCAUCAUCUCCCCGUGGCCACCAUCAUCUCCCACUGGCCACAACCACAGCAUCUCCCUAUGGCCACCAUCAUCUCCCCAUGGCCUCAACCACAGCAUCUCCCUCUGGCCACCAUCAUUUCCCUGUGGCCACCAUAAUUUCCCCGUGGCCACCAUCAUCUCCCACUGGCCACAACCACAGCAUCUCCCUAUGGCCACCAUCAUUUCCCCAUGGCUACCAUCAUCUCCCACUGGCCACAACCACAGCAUCUCCCUCUGGCCACCAUCAUUUCCCUGUGGCCACCAUCAUUUCCCUGUGGCCACCAUCAUCUCCCACUGGCCACCGUCAUCUCCC
rnacentral:lncRNA from 1 species